AGAAUUGUUUUACAUGUUUUUUUGUUUGUUUGGUUUUUAAAUUUUACUGUUUCAUCAGGAAACGCUGGCACCAGCUUAAGACAAUGUUGCUUCAGCUCUAUGAUAUAAGCAAAAACAUUUUAUUCUCAUAGUUUAUAACUUCAUUUCUUUCUUUCACCUUGGAAUCAUAUACGUGGCAAGAUUAAUCACAUUAUUAACUGCAUGAUUACUCAAGCAUUUAAACAGUUUUGUGGGUUUCUGUUUUCUUUCUUCCCCAAUUUAUUAAUCAGAGUGCCUCAUUCAAAAUAAACAGUGAGAAGCUUUAUGACACGAGCAACAUAAUAAAACUGUACAAAGCUUUUUUAAUCACUUUAAUGCCUUUACGCCUCUAAUUUAUACUCUCUGCACCCCCACUGACAUGAACCGACAAAAUACACCCAACUUAGUGCUAUUAGAACCACAGAUAAGUACUGGUAAUUGCUUCAGACCCGACUAUACUGAAGCCACAAUAGGAAUAAAAUGAAACAGGCUGAGGAUACAAUGAAAGUUUUCAUCACAAAACUGAGGAUGGGUAAGUGCUAUAAAUGGCAGAAGAAUCCAUGAACACUGGCAAGUUUUCAUUCUAGACAUUAUUCUGUCUGUGGACCGUCAGAGAAGGGCUGUAACAUCGCACCAAUACCCCACUUAUGACCCGCAAUCUCACUGCACAGUACACUCCUUUGUUUCCUAACAUAAUAUAUGAAGAAAGGACAUGCUCAGUAUAUUAAUAAACCUCCUGCUAACCCAAAAUAAUGAAACUAAUCUGAACUUCACUUUUCCUUUUGUAGUCCCUUUGCAAAGUAAUUAUUCAGAA